rnacentral:piRNA from 1 species
UGAGAUUUAUACACAAAAGCACCAUGGUUUU